AUACCUUUCUCGGCCUAUUGGCUAAGAUCAAAUGUAGUAUAUGUUUUCAUGAGUUUAAUAUCUACCUAGGAUAGGGUCCGUCACAGUAGCUUGCCACUGGGGUCCUCUUGCGUCGCCAUGGCGUUGCACUACAGCCUGGGCCUAGCACACCCCCA
rnacentral:snRNA from 1 species